GGAUGCUUGUAACACCCCUCAUUUCCGAAUGUUCGUAUAAAUUUUUGGUGAUAAUGUAAGCAUCUAUUUUAAUUGACAAAAGAAAUAGAGUAUGAAUCAGAGGUAACUUAUUUUUAAGAUUUGGGAGAUCUGUUCAAAAAAAAAAAAAGAAAAAGAAAGAAUCUGAGGACCUAUAUGUAAACCCUAAGGACCUAAUCGUGAAUAUGAUAAAAACAAGGACUAAACUGCAAAAUGCACCAAAUGACAAAUUCCACCGCUUAAGCUUCUCUGCCUUCGUUGUUAAGGAAGCAGAGGAGGCAGCUCGUGGGUGAUCAGGGAAAGAAAGAAAGAAAGAAGAAGAAGAAGAAGAAGAAGAAGAGAAAGAAAAUUGGGGCUUUUAGGGCUCUUGCUUUAAUCUUGUCAUUUCGGGUCAAAAUUUCCAAAGGAUAGCGUAUCGCUUGCUUAAAUGUUAAGAAUGGGCUGAGGCAGUGGAAAGUUUAGAAGACGUUGGCCAGAACUUUUGUUAGCAUAUAUGUAGUUGUGUAUAAGCUACCUUGCAUCUAAUGAAAUGUGACUAUGAAUCUAAACCUGUGGAUUUUGUGUAAGUUAAAGGAUCCCUCAUGUAUAGGGUUUGGAAUGUUAAAUUAAAUUCGUGUAAUGAUAUGAACUUAUGGUAAAUCGAUGAUUGUGGUGACUACAUAGAUUUCCCCACUUGUGGAUUUAUAUUGUGGUUUUUAUUUUGAUGAGUUGAGUUCAGAUUGUAUAAAUUAUCGAGUGAUGUGUGCUAUGUUUAUGAAUUGCACAGGGUUAUGAAUUGGUAGAUUAUAGAAGUGAAAUUUUUGAUCUGAAUGUUUUCUUAGUGACCUCAAAUGUGUGUUUGGAUCCUGGGUUAGUUGUGACGAAAAAAAAAAAAAAAUUUUUAAAUAUCAUGGAUAUUUUUAGGGGUGUGACAGAGGUGGUAUCAGAGCAUGAUUUGAGAAUCACUAAGAAUAUUUUUUUGAGGUUUAUUGACUAUUCAUUUAGAGAUUGAUCAAAGAAAAUAUUCUUUUGAUGUUUUAGGAAGCAAGGUAUGAAUCUAAAUUUACUGAGCUCUCUAGGUUUGCCACACAUAUGACUGAUGAUGAAUCUAGAAAGGCAAGAAGGUUUGAAAGGGGAUUACGGCCGGCGAUAAGAAGCCGAAUGUCAGCUUUAAAAUUACAAACAUAUGCUGAUACGGUAGAAAGAGCUUUGAAAAUUGAAAGAGACAUGGAGGAAAUUCAAGAAAUCAUUGGCAAGAACCAAAGGGACAAAUUUACUAGCAAAAGCAGGAGAGAAAAUGAAUACGAAGAUAGUAACAAGAGGUUUAAGACAUCUGGAUUUGAGAAAAGGAAACCAUGGGGGAGGACUCAGUUAUGUGAAAAAUGCGGAUUAAAUCAUGAGACAAGUCGGUGUUUUCGGGUGACUGGAGCAUGUUUUAAUUGUGGAAAGCUAGGUCAUCAAAUAAAAGAUUGCCCACUGAACAGGAAAA